UGCGGAGGGUGCGAGCGUUAAUCGGAAUUACUGGGCGUAAAGCGCGCGUAGGCGGCUUCGUCAGUCAGAUGUGAAAAGCCCCCGGGCUCAACCUGGAACUGCAUUUGAUACUGCGAGCUAGAGUAUGGUAGAGGAUAGUGGAAUUCCAGGUGUAGCGGUGAAAUGCGUAGAUAUCUGGAGGAACAUCAGUGGCGAAGGCGACUGUCUGGACCAAUACUGACGCUGAGGUGCGAAAGCGUGGGGCAAACAGGAUUAGAUACCCGUGUAGUCC
rnacentral:rRNA from 1 species